CCUUUGCUCUUGCAUGAGAGAACACCUUUUGUGGCUUUGGAUGGAAGAAGCAAGAGAAGGAGAUGAGAAAUAAAGAGCAUGGCGCCAUCCUUCACCAUUAUUAUCGGGUUUUUGUAGGGGACUCUGCUAUGGCACACUAAAAAAGGUCCUCUUUGAAAAGAAGGUUUUCAGAUUCGGACCCCUUGAGAACAGAAUGAUUAAUUUAGCACAAGGAAUAAUACUUUGGAUGAUAAAAGGAAUACAUUUAUCUUUUUGCUUUCAUCCGGUCAUCUCUGACUGUGUGCGGGGGAGCCCGGGAAACCUUGAGGUUUGCCUGAGGUCGUGCCUUCUGCUGGAGUCCAGUGUUUGCUUUCCUGUUGGUGAAAUGGUACGGUGACCAAACAAUCUCUUCACCUUAUGUCCUCUCCCAUCUUCUCCCACCAAGUUCAGCCCUUUAAUGGAAUCAGAGGUGACAAGUUCACAUCCUCUUCAAGAGAGCCCUCAGUGCUGACCUAGUUUCCCUACAAUGCACUAGCAUUGCUCACAUCCGCCACACACACACACACACACACACACACACACAUGCAUGCGUUUAUACACAAGAAACACAACUCUGUCCUUUGUGGCCAUUAACCCCACUUUGGCAAGUGAAGGGGAAAAUGUGUACCCAUCCCAUUUCAUCACACCCCCACCAUCCAUUCUUCGAAACACUUCAGUGCUGGGCGAGAUGCCAGCUGAGGAGGCUGGUAUGUGUUGGUGAUGAUACACCAUGCCAGUGCUCUUCUGGCAGCAGAAUAACUAUUGAACCAUGAAGGCCUGGAAACAGAAAAAUUUAGACUAACACUUAUAAAAUAUUCACAUGAUGAUCCUGAUUAAAAUGCCUUUUUUUUCUUUUUCUGUUUAUGAGACUUAAUAGAGACCUGUACAGAGACCUCAAGGAGGGUUUUUUUUAGCAUUACAAUGUUGAAGUCAUAUUUUGUGAAUACAGCAAAAAUGACUUCCCAUCAUUUAGUAUAGGUUAUUUUCAUUUUUUGUUUGAAGAUUGUCCUCAUGAUAUUACUUUGAACCUAUUUUAAAUUGUUUGCUUUAUAUCUAACUUCCCCUUUCAAAAGCUUGUGGUUGUCAGGCUUGUGUUGUGUUUUUGUUCCCCAUGUGCUCCCUGUGUCCCUGUGUUUGUUAAUUCCCCUCUGUCUCCUCGUUCCUCACUUCUUACCCUUAUGAAGUGUGUCAGUGGUGUGUAAAGUCUUGUUGUUGUUUUUUUUUAUAAGUUUCUUUUGCUUACAAGAGCUGCAUUUAUUUGAUUAAAAAUAAAUUAAAAUCAGUGAUGUGAAAUACAAAAAAAAAAAAAAACUGUUGAAAGCAGUGGUGAAUACAAAGUUCAAAAGAACAUCAUUUAUUUGCUGUCUAAAUCUUAUAUAGAAUCGGAAAUCUUUAAGAAAUAUUAAUAUUAAUCAUAUUAUUAACAUUAUUUAUUUAUUUGAUGAUUAGUCCCCCCCCC
rnacentral:lncRNA from 1 species